UGGGGACCACGCAGCCGAAUCCAGACC
rnacentral:piRNA from 1 species